rnacentral:rRNA from 1 species
UACGGAGGGUGCGAGCGUUGUCCGGAAUCACUGGGCGUAAAGGGCGCGUAGGCGGCGCGAGCAGUCGAUCGUGAAAGUCCGGAGCUCAACUCCGGAUCGGCGGUCGAUACUCUCGUGCUUGAGCACUGUAGAGGCAGAUGGAAUUCCGGGUGUAGCGGUGGAAUGCGUAGAGAUCCGGAGGAACCCCAGAGGCGAAGGCGGCGCCCUGGCUCGCAACUGACGCUCAGACACGACAGCAUGGGGAGCGAACGGG